rnacentral:rRNA from 1 species
GAGAUUGGAAUUCCUGGUGUAGCGGUGGAAUGCGCAGAUAUCAGGAGGAACACCGAUGGCGAAGGCAGAUCUCUGGGCCGUAACUGACGCUGAGGAGCGAAAGGGUGGGGAGCAAACAGGCUUAGAUACCCUGGUAGUCCACCCCGUAAACGUUGGGAACUAGUUGUGGGGUCCAUUCCACGGAUUCCGUGACGCAGCUAACGCAUUAAGUUCCCCGCCUGGGGAGUACGGCCGCAAGGCUAAAACUCAAAGGAAUUGACGGGGACCCGCACAAGCGGCGGAGCAUGCGGAUUAAUUCGAUGCAACGCGAAGAACCUUACCAAGGCUUGACAUAUACGAGAACGGGCCAGAAAUGGUCAACUCUUUGGACACUCGUAAACAGGUGGUGCAUGGUUGUCGUCAGCUCGUGUCCGUUGAGAUGUUGGGUUAAGUCCCGCAACGAGCGCAACCCUCGUUCUAUGUUGCCAGCACGUAAUGGUGGGAACUCAUGGGAUACUGCCGGGGUCAACUCGGAGGAAGGUGGGGAUGACGUCAAAUCAUCAUGCCCCUUAUGUCUUGGGCUUCACGCAUGCUACAAUGGCCGGUACAAAGGGCUGCAAUACCGUGAGGUGGAGCGAAUCCCAAAAAGCCGGUCCCAGUUCGGAUUGAGGUCUGCAACUCGACCUCAUGAAGUCGGAGUCGCUAGUAAUCGCAGAUCAGCAACGCUGCGGUGAAUACGUUCCCGGGUCUUGUACACACCGCCCGUCAAGUCAUGAAAGUCGGUAACACCUGAAGCCGGUGGCCUAACCCUUGUGGAGGGAGCCGUCGAAGGUGGGAUCGGUAAUUAGGACUAAGUC